AGUAACACGUGAGCAACCUGCCUUUCAGAGGGGGAUAACAGUUGGAAACGACUGCUAAUACCGCAUAACGCUGCGAUGGGGCAUCCCGAUGCAGCCAAAGGAGCAAUCCGCUGGAAGAUGGGCUCGCGGCCGAUUAGCUAGUUGGUGGGGCAACGGCCCACCAAGGCGACGAUCGGUAGCCGGACUGAGAGGUUGGCCGGCCACAUUGGGACUGAGAUACGGCCCAGACUCCUACGGAAGGCAGCAG
rnacentral:rRNA from 1 species